UCCCUGCUCAUCGUAGUACUUCUCCCAGCCCAAGGGCAACUCCCCCGUAAUCCGCUUGGAGCGACCUGUCCGCGGGUGUGUCCACUGUGAGGUUUUGCCCUGUUGGCUAAAGAUAUCAAACUGUGCCGUCAUCGGUGGCCCGCUCCUCCCAGCCGGGUGGCAGCUCAUCCUCACUGUCCGUGUCGGGAAGGGACAUCAUUUUAUUGGAUUGGAUUUUAUAUUUAGUUUACGUCUACUUUUUACUAAAAUGAUACUUUUUUGGCGAAACAAAUUCCAAUUGAAAUUUCAGCUAAAAUAAGUGUUGGAAAGUUUGCAAGGGAGAACAGCUGUUCCGAUUAACAGAAGUAUGUUCGGCGCAACCGGUAAGUUAACAUAACCGGUUGGCUAUCAGAACGGUUGGUCAGAUGUUAAUUUGAAUUUAACAACAUUUCCCCAAAACAAGAUAGUUGUUAGAUAUUUCACAUUGUAUCGUUACUUUUCACUUAUAAAAUGUUGAUAGCAUCUAUCUGUUUAGUUUAUUUAUCGUUUUCAUCCUUGCAUUGUUCAGGUUUGUCAGUUAGCUUAUUUAUUUUGUAAGAAAACAACAAGUAAAAACAAAAAGGUAUUCACUAUAGUGAAAUAGGCUUAAAUGUAUUUCUAAAGAUGUGUAAUAAUAACCUAUAAUAUAAAGAUAAGGCACCAUUUUCUUUUGCAGAAAUAAGUAUCAAAUAAAACUAUUUUGAUUCCUUAUGGUAUGGAUUAAAAGAUCGAUUCGUUUUAUUAAGUAAUCACACAUGGUGUGAGGGUGUCAGCCAAAUAAUUACGCCUGCGAAGCAAACCCAUUUUUUGCUCAACAAAUUGAUUACAUGGUGGAAGGGAGCUCAAAAAUCGGAAGAACAGUUACCUAAUUUAUGGACAGACCCUUAACAGGAACUAACGCUUAAUAAU